rnacentral:rRNA from 1 species
AUAUUAAUAAGCGGAGGAAAAGAAAUCAACAGAGAUUCCCUCAGUAGUGGCGAACGAACAGGGAAGAGUCCAAGCUGUAAAUCUGCGUGCUUCGUACGUAGAGUUGUAAGCUCAAGAUCUAGCUCUAAAGGUCGAACAGGCGUAUAACUGGGUUGGAAAACUCGGGCAAAGAAGGUGAAACCCCUGUAUUUGGCGCUUGGGAAACCGAAAGACUGAAUCACAGAGUCGGGUAGCUUGGGAUUGCUGCCUUAAUUGGGUGAUAUACUUCACCUAAGACUAAAUAUGGAUGGGAGACCGAUAGCGCACAAGUA